rnacentral:rRNA from 1 species
CAGCCGCCACGGGAAUACGAAGGGGGCUAGCGUUGUUCGGAAUUACUGGGCGUAAAGCGCACGCAGGCGGCUCGAUAAAUUAGAAGUGAAAGCCUUGGGCUUAACCUGAGGAUUGCUUUUAAGACUGUCGAGCUAGAAUCCAGAAGAGGGUAGUGGAAUUCCGAGUGUAGAGGUGAAAUUCGUAGAUAUUCGGAAGAACACCAGUGGCGAAGGCGACUACCUGGUCUGGCAUUGACGCUCAUGUGCGAAAGCGUGGGGAGCAAACAGGAUUAGAUACCCCAGUAGUCCCUGUCUCUUAUAC